rnacentral:rRNA from 1 species
GCAGUCGACGCUUCUUUUCCCACCGGAGCUUGCUCCACCGGGAAAAGAGGAGUGGCGAACGGGUGAGUAACACGUGGGUAACCUGCCCAUCAGAAGGGGAUAACACUUGGAAACAGGUGCUAAUACCGUAUAACAAUCGAAACCGCAUGGUUUCGUUUUGAAAGGCGCUUUACGGUGCCGCUGAUGGAUGGACCCGCGGUGCAUUAGCUAGUUGGUGAGGUAACGGCUCACCAAGGCCACGAUGCAUAGCCGACCUGAGAGGGUGAUCGGCCACAUUGGGACUGAGACACGGCCCAAACUCAUACGGGAGGCAGCAGUAGGGAAUCUUCGGCAAUGGACGAAAGUCUGACCGAGCAACGCCGCGUGAGUGAAGAAGGUUUUCGGAUCGUAAAACUCUGUUGUUAGAGAAGAACAAGGGUGAGAGUAACUGUUCACCCCUUGACGGUAUCUAACCAGAAAGCCACGGCUAACUACGUGCCAGCAGCCGCGGUAAUACGUAGGUGGCAAGCGUUGUCCGGAUUUAUUGGGCGUAAAGCGAGCGCAGGCGGUUUCUUAAGUCUGAUGUGAAAGCCCCCGGCUCAACCGGGGAGGGUCAUUGGAAACUGGGAGACUUGAGUGCAGAAGAGGAGAGUGGAAUUCCAUGUGUAGCGGUGAAAUGCGUAGAUAUAUGGAGGAACACCAGUGGCGAAGGCGGCUCUCUGGUCUGUAACUGACGCUGAGGCUCGAAAGCGUGGGGAGCAAACAGGAUUAGAUACCCUGGUAGUCCACGCCGUAAACGAUGAGUGCUAAGUGUUGGAGGGUUUCCGCCCUUCAGUGCUGCAGCUAACGCAUUAAGCACUCCGCCUGGGGAGUACGACCGCAAGGUUGAAACUCAAAGGAAUUGACGGGGGCCCGCACAAGCGGUGGAGCAUGUGGUUUAAUUCGAAGCAACGCGAAGAACCUUACCAGGUCUUGACAUCCUUUGACCACUCUAGAGAUAGAGCUUCCCCUUCGGGGGCAAAGUGACAGGUGGUGCAUGGUUGUCGUCAGCUCGUGUCGUGAGAUGUUGGGUUAAGUCCCGCAACGAGCGCAACCCUUAUUGUUAGUUGCCAUCAUUUAGUUGGGCACUCUAGCAAGACUGCCGGUGACAAACCGGAGGAAGGUGGGGAUGACGUCAAAUCAUCAUGCCCCUUAUGACCUGGGCUACACACGUGCUACAAUGGGAAGUACAACGAGUCGCGAAGUCGCGAGGCUAAGCUAAUCUCUUAAAGCUUCUCUCAGUUCGGAUUGUAGGCUGCAACUCGCCUACAUGAAGCCGGAAUCGCUAGUAAUCGCGGAUCAGCACGCCGCGGUGAAUACGUUCCCGGGCCUUGUACACACCGCCCGUCACACCACGAGAGUUUGUAACACCCGAAGUCGGUGAGGUAACCUUUUUGGAGCCAGCC